rnacentral:piRNA from 1 species
UGAAACUCCAAUAAACAUUUC